rnacentral:rRNA from 1 species
UACGUAGGGGGCAAGCGUUGUCCGGAAUCAUUGGGCGUAAAGAGCGUGUAGGCGGUCCGUUAAGUCGGCUGUGAAAGUCCAAGGCUCAACCUUGGGAUGCCGGUCGAUACUGCCGGACUAGAGUUCGGAAGAGGCGAGUGGAAUUCCCGGUGUAGCGGUGAAAUGCGCAGAUAUCGGGAGGAACACCUAUGGCGAAGGCAGCUCGCUGGGACGUUACUGACGCUGGAGACGCGAAAGCGUGGGGAGCAACAGG